rnacentral:piRNA from 1 species
CAGACUGGAUCCCUGACCUAUUGCCC